rnacentral:rRNA from 2 species
GACCCGUCUUGAAACACGGACCAAGAAGUCUAUCUUGCGCGCAAGUCAAUGGGAGUAGCAAACCCAAAGGCGAAGAUAACACAACUGCAAAGUCGUUGCGGGAUUACGGGUGCACCACAGUCCGCAAGGACUGGCUAGCUGUGCCGCCCCUCCAUCCCCGGGUGUUUAGCAACGGAUCUGUAGUGCCGCGGACCCCCCGCCGGGGUGGGCAUUUGCAGAGCCAACGCGACAUACCGCGAGCGCGCAGGAUGUGACCCGAAAGAUGGUGAACUAUGCCUGAUCAGGUUGAAGUCAGGGGAAACCCUGAUGGAGGACCGAAGCAAUUCUGACGUGCAAAUCGAUUGUCAGAGUUGGGCAUAGGGGCGAAAGACCAAUCGAACCAUCUAGUAGCUGGUUCCUUCCGA